CACAGCAGGUCUUUGCUGAUCUGAAGUUAUGUUUCAGGACUUCAGCAGAUAACUUCUCAGAGCCUGACUUCUGGACUACAAUCAUGUUUUGCUUCAGUUAUCACAGUGAAUACUGUUUCUAUGGACACAUCCCUGAGACAUUCAGGAUGGUGGCACUUAAGGACAAAGACUUGUGCUACUCGAUGCAUGCAUAAGCGCUUCAUAACAGAUGACGACAAACUCACGUUAGCGCUUAUAUAAGCAACAAUUCUGUUGUGUAAAGUUGAAAUAACAUUUUAAAUUACACUGAAAUCAAUACAUUAAUUUGCUCACCUUUUAAGUGCAAUCCUGGGGUGGCAAGCUUUUGUACCUAGUGGUCAAAAAUGGGAACUGCAAAACAAGAAAUCGAUGCCCAUUGGUGCCCAUUCCUCACUCUAUGAACAUUUUCAGUGGAGGAGCAGCAGACAGGGUAGUUAACCACAGGGUUGCCAGGAUCAGGUUUUGUUUUUUUGUUUUUUUAAUUUUAUGAAAAUUGACCGCUAAGAUAUUUGACAACAAAUAAUCAUAGACAGUGUGUCUGUGAUGGACAGAGCCAUUUCUAUUUAAGCAAUAUUGGACAAGCAAAAGUGCAGUUACAGUGAGUAUCAGCAUGUCUGUGAUUACCUACAGCGAAUCACGGUCACUCUGAUAUUCAGUAUAAUCACACUCUUGAUUGUGCAAUAUUGCUUUUGUACAACAGUUCUAUAAACAAGAAAUUAAUAUUGAGUAAGUGACAUUUCGGACACAAUAUGGCCACAAAUGUUCCGUUUGUUUUUGCUCCUCUAGUGGAAAUAGAUCCCAAAGAACCCACGUUCACGUUAUUGCACAUCAGUGAACAAGGUCAAUUUGAUUUGUACAUGCUUCUGGUAGAUCUGUCGUCUUUUCUUUCUUGUCAUCUUUUCUUCCUUUUCAUCUUUUCCUUUUCAUCUGGUACACACAUUGAAAUGUCCAGUGUGGUUAUAGAAAAUAUAGAAAUUCUUGGAAUGCCGCUUUACCAAUCAUAGUAGUGAGCCGGUACUACCUGUAGUAUAAUGUAAGAUAUAUUGCAAAAACUGGGUGAAAGAAAAGUGGAUCAGAGGAUGAGUGAAUAAUGGCCAUAUAUUAAAAAUGUGUGUGCACCACGGUGACCUUGUUUCUGAAGUAAAAACCUGAGAAACAAAUAAGAAAACCGUGAAGAUGUAAUUGGGCUGGAAAGUUUCUGAAACAUUGCAACCCUGGUUAAUGGUGAUAGGAAACACACAUACUGUAUUGAACACAGUUCGAGGGUACAUCUAAAUCCACUAAAAAAUAAGCUGCUAG
ensembl:lncRNA